AGGUCAAUGAUGAGACCUUUACUGUCUUGAAGAGAGAUGAUGACUUAGAAAUCAUGCUCAGUAGGAUAAUGCUGAAGCCC